rnacentral:rRNA from 1 species
GACGGAAGGUGCAAGCGUUGCUCGGAAUCACUGGGCGUAAAGGGUGCGUAGGCGGCCUGGUAAGUCUGGCGUGAAAGCCCAGGGCUCAGCCCUGGAAGUGCGCUAGAAACUGCGAGGCUCGAGUGCCGGAGGGGAGAGUGGAAUUCCUGGUGUAGCGGUGAAAUGCGUAGAUAUCUGGAGGAACACCGGUGGCGAAGGCGGCAUCCUGGACCGGCAUUGACGCUGAGGCGCGAAAGCCAGGGGAGCAAACGGG